GUGAAAUGUUCUUACAUCUUAUUCAAACAUGUGCCUAGAAGCCAAAGCAGAAGAAACACCUCCAUGAAAGUAAGCAAAGCAAGAGAAAGAAGAAGACUCUACAUUCCAAAGUGUAAGAGAAAGAACAGAGAAAAAGCUGUUCACCAUUUCCUAGUCUUGCGGAACCAAACUACUCAACAGUAACAUGCCUCACAUCCUUCCUCUCUUCUUCCUUCACCUUUGGCACCGCCACUUUCAGAACCCCAUUUUUCAUCUCUGCUUUGAUCGAAUUCAGUUCGUACAGGUUCGCAGGCAAAUCUAGUCGGCUCGAGAAUCGUCUCCGGUCCUCCUCGUCUUCGGACUCUUUCGCUGCUUCCCCUUUGAUGAUCAGUGUGUUCUGCUCCACACUCACCUUCACAUCCUCUUUGCUCAGUCCAGGCAUAUCCAUACGUAGAUACAGAGCAUUGUCGUCUUCUCUCACAUCCCAACCCCUCCUUGAUCCUGCUCCUACUCCUCGUGAAGCUGCCAGAAAUGGAUCCUCCAUCAACUGAUCCAUCAGAUUCAGCACCUGGCUUAAGCUCCUAGUCGGAGAAAACGGAUCGAACACAUCUGCGAAGCCAGGGAAGCGAUCACGAGAACGAGAGAUAGAGCGAUCGGAGCCGCGGUCAACAUCGACGGAGCGGUCGUCAUCGGCGUAGUUGGUCAUCUGAGCAUUGGUGUUGAAUGAACGACCGACAGAGGGGAGAACAGAGGCGGAGCGAACAGGACUGAUAAGCUUAACGGCGGAGGAAGCGGCAAGUCUUCGGAGAGCGAUCGAAGAAGCCAUUGAUGGAGAUUAUGGGAAAGCUUGAAGUUCAG
rnacentral:misc_RNA from 1 species